CCUANGGGUGGCUGCAGUGGGGAAUAUUGGACAAUGGGCGAAAGCCUGAUCCAGCAAUGCCGCGUGUGUGAAGAAGGCCUUCGGGUUGUAAAGCACUUUAGUGGGGGAAGAAAGCACGAAAGUGUGUGACGGUACCCCAAGAAUAAGCACCGGCUAACUCUGUGCCAGCAGCCGCGGUAAUACAGAGGGUGCGAGCGUUAAUCGGAAUGACUGGGCGUAAAGGGCGCGUAGGUGGAUGAGUGUGUUGGAUGUGAAAGCCCCGGGCUUAACCUGGGAAUUGCAUACAAAACUGCUGAUCUAGAGUGGAGCAGAGGUGAGUGGAAUUUCCGGAGUAGCGGUGAAAUGCGUAGAUACCGGAAGGAACACCAGUGGCGAAGGCGACUCACUGGGCUCAAACUGACACUGAGGCGCGAAAGCGUGGGGAGCAAACAGGAUUAGAUACCCCANUANUC
rnacentral:rRNA from 1 species